rnacentral:piRNA from 1 species
GGACUACACAGUGUGUGACCUACAAAC